rnacentral:rRNA from 1 species
GAUGAACGCUAGCGACAGGCUUAACACAUGCAAGUCGAGGGGCAACAGGGAGUGUGCUUGCACACUCUGCUGGCGACCGGCGCACGGGUGAGUAACACGUAUGCAACCUGCCCUUUACAGAGGGAUAAUCGGAAGAAAUUUCGUCUAAUACCUCAUAACACCUUUUUUCCGCAUGGGAUUAAGGUCAAAGAAUUUCGGUAAAGGAUGGGCAUGCGGAGCAUUAGGUAGUAGGCGGGUAACGGCCCACCUAGCCGACGAUGCAUAGGGGUUCUGAGAGGAAGGUCCCCCACACUGGUACUGAGACACGGACCAGACUCCUACGGGAGGCAGCAGUGAGG